rnacentral:rRNA from 1 species
AUUGAACGCUGGCGGCAUGCCUUACACAUGCAAGUCGAACGGUAACAGGUCUUCGGAUGCUGACGAGUGGCGAACGGGUGAGUAAUACAUCGGAACGUGCCUAGUAGUGGGGGAUAACUACUCGAAAGAGUGGCUAAUACCGCAUGAGAUCUACGGAUGAAAGCAGGGGAUCGCAAGACCUUGCGCUACUAGAGCGGCCGAUGGCAGAGUAGGUAGUUGGUGGGAUAAAAGCUUACCAAGCCGACGAUCUGUAGCUGGUCUGAGAGGACGAUCAGCCACACUGGGACUGAGACACGGCCCAGACUCCUACGGGAGGCAGCAGUGGGGAAUUUUGGACAAUGGGCGCAAGCCUGAUCCAGCAAUGCCGCGUGCAGGAUGAAGGCCUUCGGGUUGUAAACUGCUUUCGUACGGAACGAAAAGCCCUGGGUUAAUACCCUGGGGUCAUGACGGUACCGUAAGAAUAAGCACCGGCUAACUACGUGCCAGCCGCCGCCGUAAAAC